CAAAAGAUUGUGUAUUUUAGCUACGUGACGUGUCCUUUAUUUGACAAUAUGAGUAACAAUUUGCAUUAAAUUAACUUUUAUUGUAAUAUGUGAACAUUAUAAAUAGUUAUGACAUUUCGUAGAACAACAAAUAUCAAGACAAAAUCGAUGCCCAGAUUAAAUAUUGAUGAUGAAAUGUGCAGGACAAGCUGUCAUGGAUCUGUAUGUUAUAACUAGGGUCCAUGGAAUACUGCAGCAUCCUUGGACCUGGAUUCCUCUACCGCUUUAAAGGAAUAGCUCAGUUUUCCUCUUUCCAUCUAUUGAACAAAGAGUCACUGACAGCUUAGCAUCUGCAACACACCAGGAGCUCUGAUUUGCAAUAGCAACAUUUAGAGGGCCAAAUUCUGGCCUCGGAUUGACUUUAGUGGAACCUCUACACACAUACGUCCAGGGGCAGUUGUUCUGCACCUUUCAAUGCAAGAGUCUCCUGACAGCUGGGGGGCAGAGCUGGCAAUUCAGUGUGGCUGUUACAGAGGCAGGCCCACGGGGCGCUCUCAUCCAGGGAGACGUGUUUGUUUUCUGGUAUACGUUUUGUGUCUUGUAUAUGGAAUACACAACACCCUUGCCUCUGGUAGCCACCCCUAUACACUUGAUCUGUCAGAGGCUGAGUUUGUUGACCUGCAAAGCAUGCCUAUCUGUUUACCAAGGCUUUUUCUGAGGGAGCUGGUUGGGGGGAGUCCUUGUUUGCAUUCACUCUCAGGGGCUGGCCUAUGUAUUGUGUUUUCUUUUUACAGUUUGUGUUUGUAUAUGUGCCUCAGGGUUGAUGAGAGGGGUCCCUCACCCAUUUAAAAGUAAUUAAAUAAAAUGUAUCAUCACUUUAGUAAGCUGAGGAGGCCUUUUGACCUUUGGACUAAACACUUCCAGAAAUAAAAUAAAGUGUCAGGACACUAGAGGAAUUAACUAUAUCACCAAGUCUAGUUGGAACAAAGCCAGCCUCUCAGACAGAGGGCACUGGAUUCUCACAUUGAUGGAAAAUGAUACCAAAGUAAAAAUCAUGAGCUGCUGUGUCACAGGAAUCUGUUCGCCUAUUAUCACUACUGGGGCCUUGGCGCACCCACAAUAAAAAUAAAUAAUCAUAAUCAACCCUCCUAAUGCACAGGGGCCAAAAUAGUCAAACCUGGAUGCCUAAACCCAUAUGUAUUUCUUUAGAUUUAAAAUAAUAAAAGACAUCUGUCCAGGCCUGGAGGUGCUGGGACAAAAUUAAUUAUACAAUCAGUACAAUUGAAUAAAAUCUCAGCAGCAUUAUAAUCAUCAGUUCCACAGGAACUCAGCCAGCCACCUACUGCCUUCAUUCUCUAGGAAGCAUCCAUCAGUGCUCUUCUUUAGAUACCUAAGUAAUAAUGGCCUGACUUUUCCCCCCCGAAGCCCUGUGUAGUUGAGGAUGCUCAGGAUUGCUGAAUUUCAGCUAUCUUGUAUUCAGAGUCUAAGUUUAGACAACAAAGUUUGGAAGUUUUAACCUAUAAUUCCCAUAAUAGAAUCAACACAGUCCCAACUCCCCUCAUAAGAACUCUUGGUGAAAUCUGGCCCCACUGAAGUCAGCUGGUUUUUUCCCAUUGACUUCAUUGGAGCCAUAAUUUCACCCGAUGUGUGGAAGUCUCCAGUGGAGCAAUGGGAUAAUACAAUGCUGUGUGAGCAGAGAGAAGAGUGCAGUGAGAAUCCUAAUGGCUCUACUUCAGAGGGAGCAGGGCUUUGCUUUUCAAACAGGCUUUGGUAAGGAUGGAGAUAGUAUAAGCAAAAAAGCAAUGAGCCUGUUCUCCAUUUUAAUGAAACCUUGGCUCUUCUUUUCCCUCUCCCCAAGAUAUUUCAGGAGAUACAGUGGCUCUGCUCAACUUCCUCAUGUGUACAGGUCGAGGGAUUUAUAACUUUAAGAGUAUACACACAGUUCAGUUCCUGGGUAGCUCAGAAACAUACAUAAUAAGUAGCGGCCAUCAUUCUCUGUGUUUAUAUCAGGCUGUGAAAUGCAGCAUUGGCUGAUAUAUACUCCCUGGCCAUACUAAAGCUGAUUGUUGGUGUUCCAAGGGUACAGGAAGAAGCAAACAGGACAUAAAUCCUCCUUCUAUGCAAACAAAUGCUCUAAGUGUCAUGAUUUUUCUAUAAGAACGGCAUUCUCAUUUCACCCGCUUUUGACAGAGUGCAUGUUAAAUGGCUACAACGCUUAAGAGGUCUUAAAAAACCUUAUUUGAUCUUCUUGGACAUGCAACUAUACUAUGUUCUUUAAAGCACCCCGAAGAAAAUGGAUUACCAAAAACAUGUGAAAGGGAAUAGAAUUGAGGCCAAAUUGCUCAUUAGCCCAUAGAACUAAUCAGAAUACUGAUUCUCAUUUGUUUAUCUCACUAAUUCCCUCUUGGACUGUGUUCUGUCCAUUUGGCAUAGUAAUACUCAUUACUGAAGAAUUAUAACCCCCAUGUGCUACCUUGAAGCUGCACACAGCCAUUUUGCCCUAAUAUGUAGCAGUUUACAUUUUCCAAGCACUUAAACAUUAAUUAGAUAAUCACCAGUACACCUCUGGAAGACUCAGGGCCUAGUUUUCAUUUUAGAGAAACGGGGCCUAGUUUUCAGAGGUGAGGGUGAGCACGCACCUCCCCCGUUGAAGCCAAGUGGACCUGUGGUUCUUUGGCCCUCAGUGAUUUGUACAAGGCCACACAGAAAGUCAGUAAUGGAAGUAGGAUCAGAAUUCAGGAAUUCAUGGCUCCCGGCCCACUCUCACUCUGUUCUGACCUUGAAACUUCGACAUUCCAAAUACUUCUAUUCAGACAUAUAUUUUUAACCAAAAAACUUUUUUUCAAUAUGCAAGAAGGCAGAAAACUUGAUUGUUCCCCCUCUCCCCUCCAUCACCAUCUCCGGGAGCCGAGUCUGCAAGUUUCAUAUAACGAUGCAUAUUGUAAAAGUUUAUUACAAAAAGAAUGUAAUGGUGAGGAAGCAAAAGUCUGCAGGCUGAAGCAUUUAAUUAAAGGUAACCUUUUAAUAGAAAAUUUUGUAGUGGUGGUAAAUUUAAUCAGACUUUUAACUAUCUUACUUUUCGCAAUGUCUUCCACAGAUCUAUGUGAGCUGGGGAGAAAAUGAGCCUGAUUCCCCACUGCCUUGCUUCAUCAUUUAUACUGGUGCAAGUGGGAUAGAGAAUCCCAGUGGUAGCACUGUACACCCACUUGGCACAGAUGCAAACAACUACACAAGGGGUGAAGCAAUGGCAAAUCAAGGCCAGUGAAUCUGCCCCACUAAGGAGGAGGAAGCAUUUAUGCUGGCCCCUUCUCCCAGCUCAUGCCUUGCCAGCUGGGUCAGAGGGGAGCCUUGCCAGGUGAUGAGGACUGACCAGUAGACACUACUGCCCUUAAGGGGCCAACUACCCUGUCACAG